GUCCAUACUAUAUCAUAGCUAUGACGACUAUAGUCGUCUCGUUAAAAAGAAAAAAAUGCGGAAAGUUUCAACUUCAGAACCGACAAAGGCAAUCUUGUUCCGAGGCCAACGUCCUAUUCCUCGCGGCCCCUAUUAACGAAAUGGAGAACUAGUUUCGCGGGGUAUACAAUGAAGCCAGGCCACGCAGCACUUUCCAACUUGCAGAUUAAUCGGGCUCCCGGCCAAACAACAUUUAUUCUAUUAUCGAGCGCGUAUUUGUAAUUCAAAUUUCCCGCCGGUCGAACAGGUGAUUCCAUCAGCCUUGCAUUACCGCGUAAAAUCGAUGCGGCGCUCGUGUAUCCUUUCGACGUGUCAAUAUGUCCGCCGUGAACUUCUAUGGAAUGACGAUAAAUCGUGGGGAAAAUGAAUCGUGCGUUUGAAUAAAUUAGGAUCUAGGCGAUCAAUUCGAAAUUCGUGAUAAGAGAGUAAAGUGAGGUUAACCUCUCGAGGAAUAAUUCGUUUGCACGCGAUGACAAUAAUUUUUUUUUUUUAGAAAUCGAAUAAUUAAAGUACAUAAUAAUAAAAGGUGUAUAAGUAAAAGGAUAGGAUUGGAAGAGAUGAUAUUACAUGCAGAAGUAUACGAAGUGCACUUAAAGUUUGAUAUUGGAAACUAUGCAUACCUGGAAGGUAUUCGCAAAAGUUAUAAUUCUCUUCAUAAUAAUUCUAAUAUAAUAUAUAAAGUUCGUACAGUAUUAAUAGAGAAAUGAUUUAAAAAUUAUUAAACAAAGAGUACGCCGUUAUAAAUUGUGUUUACAUAAAUACAUUCGGCACGAUAUUCUAUAUACACGUGUAAUUUUGUUAAUGGAAUAUUCAUUGUUUGGUUAAACGAAUGGAACGAAGAACUGUGUGCCGCCAUAUGCAUAUCAUUAAACGAAAAUUAAACUGGUGGUGUAAAACUAUAAACCUGUUUCCUUUGUAUCCGUUAUAUAUCUUUAAUUUCACUUGGAAUAUGGUAAAAAAAAAACGAAACGAGCGUUUGAUGAAAAAUUGAAAUACGUACACGAUACAAUGUUAACGUUAUUGAAUGUUGGAAAGGUUGGUUAAUAAGAGUUUUAUGGUGAAAAAAACUUU